GUGCCAACUUGGACAGUACAUAUACUAAAACUGGAAGGAUACAAAGAAGAUUAGCAUGGCCCCUGCCCAAGGAUGACACCCAAAUUCAUGAAGCAUUCCACAUUUUU